rnacentral:tRNA from 2 species
GCAUCAGUGGUUUAGUGGUAAAAUCCAUCGUUGCCACGCAACAAGUUCGAUGGGCCCCGUGUUCGAUUCACGGCUGAUGCA